GAUGAACGCUGGCGGCGUGCCUAAUACAUGCAAGUCGAGCGAACAGACGAGGAGCUUGCUCCUCUGACGUUAGCGGCGGACGGGUGAGUAACACGUGUAUAACCUACCUAUAAGACUGGGAUAACUUCGGGAAACCGGAGCUAAUACCGGAUAAUAUCUUGAACCGCAUGGUUCAAUAGUGAAAGACGGUUUUGCUGUCACUUCUAGCUGGAUCCGCGCCGCAUUAGCUAGUUGGUAAGGUAACGGCUUAUCAAGGCAACGAUGCGUAGCCGACCUGAGAGAGUGAUAGGCCACACAGGAACUGAGACACGGUCAAGACUCCUACGGGAGGCAGCAGUAGGGAAUCUUCAGCAAUGGGCGAAAGCCUGACGGAGAAACGCCGCGUGAGUGAUGAAGGUCUUCGGAUCGUAAAAAUCUGUUAUUAGGGAAGAACAAAUGUGUAAGUAAAUAUGCACGUCUUGACGGUACCUAAUCAGAAAGCCACGGCUAACUACGUG
rnacentral:rRNA from 1 species